rnacentral:rRNA from 1 species
UUCCGGUUGAUCCCGCCGGACCUGACUGCUAUCGGAUUGAUACUAAGCCAUGCUAGUCUUUGUAGUAAUACAAGGCAUACGGCUCAGUAACGCGUAGUCAACCUACCCUAUGGACGGGGAUAAUCUCGGGAAACUGAGCAUAAUACCCGGUAGACCACUUCUCCUGGAAUGGUUAGUGGUUAAAAUGAUUCGUCGCCAUAGGAUGGGACUGCGGCCUAUCAGCUUGUUGGUGAGGUAAUGGCCCACCAAGGCGAUUACAGGUACGGGCUCUGAGAGGAGAGGCCCGGAGAUGGGUACUGAGACAAGGACCCAGGCCCUAUGGGGCGCAGCAGGCGAGAAAACUUUGCAAUGUGCGAAAGCACGACAAGGUUAAUCCGAGUGAUUUCUGCUAAAGGAAUCUUUUGUUAGUUCUAAAAAUACUAGUGAAUAAGGGGUGGGCAAGUUCUGGUGUCAGCCGCCGCGGUAAAACCAGCACCUCAAGUGGUCAGGAGGAUUAUUGGGCCUAAAGCAUCCGUAGCCUGUUCUAUAAGUUUGCGGUUAAAUCUAUACGCUCAACGUAUAGGCUGCCGUAAAUACUGUAGAACUAGGGAGUGGGAGAGGUAGACGGUACUCGAUAGGAAGGGGUAAAAUCCUUUGAUCUAUUGAUGACCACCUGUGGCGAAGGCGGUCUACCAGAACACGUUCGACGGUGAGGGAUGAAAGCUGGGGGAGCAAACCGGAUUAGAUACCCGGGUAGUCCCAGCUGUAAACGAUGCAGACUCGAUGAUGCAAUGGCAUAGAGCUAUUGCAGUAUCGCAGGGAAGCCGUUAAGUUUGCCGCCUGGGAAGUACGUACGCAAGUAUGAAACUUAAAGGAAUUGGCGGGGGAGCACCACAAGGGGUGAAGCCUGCGGUUCAAUUGGAGUCAACGCCGGG